rnacentral:misc_RNA from 1 species
GAAAUGCGAUAAGUAAUGUGAAUUGCAGAAUUCAGUGAAUCAUCGAAUCUUUGAACGCACAUUGCGCCCGCCAGUAUUCUGGCGGGCAUGCCUGUUCGAGCGUCAUUACAACCCUCAGGCCCCCGGGCCUGGCGUUGGGGAUCGGCGGAAGCCCCCUGCGGGCACAACGCCGUCCCCCAAAUACAGUGGCGGUCCCGCCGCAGCUUCCAUUGCGUAGUAGCUAACACCUCGCAACUGGAGAGCGGCGCGGCCACGCCGUAAAACACCCAACUUCUGAAUGUUGACCUCGAAUCAGGUAGGAAUACCCGCUGAUCUUAAGC